UACGGAGGGGGCAAGCGUUGUCCGGACUUACUGGGCGUAAAGGGCGCGUAGGCGGUCGUGACAAGUCACUUGUGAAAUCUCCGGGCUUAACUCGGAACGGUCAAGUGAUACUGUCGGACUAGAGUACAGAAGGGGCAACUGGAAUUCUCGGUGUAGCGGUGAAAUGCGUAGAUAUCGAGAGGAACACCUGCGGCGAAGGCGGGUUGCUGGGCUGAUAUCGAUGCGGCUGAGGCGCGAAAGCCAGGGGAGCGAACGGGG
rnacentral:rRNA from 1 species